rnacentral:piRNA from 1 species
UGCCGUGUAAAACUUGAGGGUAUGUGGCGU